GAGGAGCCGUGGUGAGCACCGGUAAAAGUCGACACCCCCGUCUGAGUGGGCGGAGGCACCGUUGUGAGGUUGGCGAGAACCAAAAAGAAAACCAAAGGAACAGAAAAAUGUGCUGUUGUGUAGAACGGCGCUCAUGGUGGACUUACCCUAUUUAACAGGGUCCAACCUGGGAGAACAGGCAGGGUGCGCAAGGCCAGAUAUAAAAAGCUGACUAGUGAAAAAAGGACAGCCUGUCCCGGUUGAGAUGCAUGACGGGACAGGCAAAAUGGAAAAAAAAACAGAGACAAAAACCAAUGGCCUUAUGCUCAGUAGACUAUAUGCAGCAAGACUGAGACAGAAGAAAUUUGAGUAGGUAGCUGCAUCUGCAUUCAUAGGCUACAAAGGAACAGGUUCAUUCCAUGCUGAAAGGUAAAGAAAAGAAACAUUACAUUUCAGCUGUCGAGCCUUCUUCAGGUGUGAGGGAGAGAGAGAA
rnacentral:lncRNA from 1 species